AAUCUUUUUUUUGCCGCGCAAGAAGCCUAUAUAUGAGUCUGCCGGUGCAAGCCGGCUAUGGCGAUAAACGGGCGACGUAAUAAGCCAUUCGGACCCGGGGGCAGUACCCGGCGCCUCCACCAGGUUUCAGCUCGGGCGUUCUCGAAAGUGACGCGUUCCGAACUUCCAGCAGCCGAUCUGAAACGUGGCGGGGGCGAAACAGGAUCGACGAGGGUGUAAAAGUCGUGCUUUCGCUCGGCAUGGUACCGCCGUUAUCGGGCCAACCAAAUAGUUGCCAACGACAACUAUGCGGAGGCUCGUCUCGCUGCGUAGUCAGCGCGAUAGCCUGAAACUCAAGUCCUAAUCUCUUCGCAGGGGUUAGGCGCGGUUUCGGAGGGCACCGGGCAACAGAAGCCCUCCACU
rnacentral:tmRNA from 1 species